rnacentral:rRNA from 1 species
UACAGAGGGGGCUAGCGUUGCUCGGAAUCACUGGGCGUAAAGCGCACGUAGGCGGCUUUUUAAGUCAGGGGUGAAAUCCUGGAGCUCAACUCCAGAACUGCCUUUGAUACUGAGAAGCUUGAGUCCGGGAGAGGUGAGUGGAACUGCGAGUGUAGAGGUGAAAUUCGUAGAUAUUCGCAAGAACACCAGUGGCGAAGGCGGCUCACUGGCCCGGUACUGACGCUGAGGUGCGAAAGCGUGGGGAGCAAACAGG